GAUGAACGCUGGCGGCGUGCUUAACACAUGCAAGUCGAACGGUGAAGGCGGAGCUUGCUCUGCUGGAUCAGUGGCGAACGGGUGAGUAACACGUGAGCAAUCUGCCCCUGACUCUGGGAUAAGCGCUGGAAACGGCGUCUAAUACUGGAUACGAGCUGCGAAGGCAUCUUCAGCAGCUGGAAAGAAUUUCGGUCAGGGAUGAGCUCGCGGCCUAUCAGCUUGUUGGUGAGGUAAUGGCUCACCAAGGCGUCGACGGGUAGCCGGCCUGAGAGGGUGACCGGCCACACUGGGACGGAGACACGGCCCAGACUCCUACGGGAGGCAGCAGUGGGGAAUAUUGCACAAUGGGCGAAAGCCUGAUGCAGCAACGUCGCGUGAGGGACGACGGCCUUCGGGUUGUAAACCUCUUUUAGCAGGGAAGAAGCGAAAGUGACGGUACCUGCAGAAAAAGCGCCGGCUAACUACGUG
rnacentral:rRNA from 1 species